ACACAUGGGCUGGAUGCUUUGUAAGAAUGCCUUGCUGCCUUCCGCUUAGAAAGGAUCGGAGCCACUGUUCCCAGCCAGAUGGCAGCGUUAUGUAACACAACACACCAAGAGAAAAAAAACGCAGAAAAGUGCAUAGCUGGCUCAGUAAGAGAGUCACGAGGUCAUACGUUUCCACUUGAAGGUGCUCAAGCUGGAAGUCUGAGGGGAAUCCCUGUGCAGGUGUGGAGACUCACACUCAGGAGUGUCUGGUCCUGAACUCAGACAUCUGGUCUGUGAAGGUACCCAGGGAGAAAGUCCAACAUGUUUAGUCUGACCUUAUCCUGAUCUAGCCAUCCUCACUGAACCCCCUCCAGGUGUCCUGCCUUCAGCGACCGGAUCACAUGACAUCAAUCAACAACCUCCUGCACCCAUCUAUAGUGAACAGAAGGUUUGCAUAUGUACAGGGAAAAGACCAAUCUGUAAAGUGUACAUUUGGAGGAAUGUUACUUUCUGAGAACCUUACUGAGUUAUUCAGUUAUUUAUAAUGAAUUUUCACCUUACAAGAGAAAUACACUUUUUAAUUAUUCCCGCAAAAAUCAGUGGAGAAGCGCUUUGCAAAAAUUUUAUACCUAAAUUAUUAUUAUGUGUCACAUCAUAUAAUACUUAAAAUAACAAAAAUUUAAAGUGCUUCUUAUAAAAUGACCUCCUGUACAGACAGCGCCCCCUUCUGAGGAGUGUCAAUAAACCCGAGUCACCCGAUUCUCUGUAUUCUUCAUUACUGAGGAGAAUUAGAGCAAGAUGGUAGGAAGUUUCAUAGUUUCAUAUGUUACUCAGUGCCGUUCCCCUUUGAUGACCAUCACACUAUAAUUGUCUCCAUAUCUAUAUUCCAGAAUAAAUUCAGAGAAAAAUUUGCCCGAUUUUAUAAUAGAGCAGCUACAGUAAAGCCCUUUAAAUCUUUAUAGUAAUGCUAAAUUUGAUUAAAAAGAAACACCUCUUAAGAAUAAAAAAUGUUUAUUUAAA